rnacentral:rRNA from 1 species
UGCCCUAGUAACGGCGAGUGAAGCGGCAACAGCUCAAAUUUGAAAUCUGGCUCUUUCAGAGUCCGAGUUGUAAUUUGCAGAGGGCGCUUUGGCGUUGGCAGCGGUCCAAGUUCUUUGGAACAGGACGUCACAGAGGGUGAGAAUCCCGUACGUGGUCGCUAGCCUUCGCCGUGUAAAGCCCCUUCGACGAGUCGAGUUGUUUGGGAAUGCAGCUCUAAAUGGGAGGUAAAUUUCUUCUAAAGCUAAAUACUGGCCAGAGACCGAUAGCGCACAAGUAGAGUGAUCGAAAGAUGAAAAGCACUUUGGAAAGAGAGUCAAAUAGCACGUGAAAUUGUUGAAAGGGAAGCGCUUGCAGCCAGACUUGCCUGUAGUUGCUUAUCUGGACUUUAGUUGUCCGGUGCACUCUUCUGCGGGCAGGCCAGCAUCAGUUUGGGCGGUUGGAUAAAGGUCUCUGUCAUGUACCUCCUUUCGGGGAGGCCUUAUAGGGGAGACGACAUGCAACCAGCCUGGACUGAGGUCCGCGCAUCUGCUAGGAUGCUGGCGUAAUGGCUGUAAGCGGCCCGUCUUGAAACACGGACCAAGGAGUCUAACAUCUAUGCGAGUGUUUGGGUGUCAAGCCCAGACGCGUAAUGAAAGUGAACGGAGGUGGGAACCUUUUAGGUGCACCAUCGACCGAUCCUGAUGUCUUCGGAAGGAUUUGAGUAAGAGCAUGGCUGUUGGGACCCGAAAGAUGGUGAACUAUGCUUGAAUAGGGUGAAGCCAGAGGAAACUCUGGUGGAGGCUCGCAGCGGUUCUGACGUGCAAAUCGAUCGUCAAAUUUGGGCAUAGGGGCGAAAGACUAAUCGAACUAUCUAGUAGCUGGUUCCUGCCGAAGUUUCCCUCAGGAUAGCAGUAACGUAUUCAGUUUUAUGAGGUAAAGCGAAUGAUUAGAGGCCUGGGGGUUGAAACAACCUUCACCUAUUCUCAAACUUUAAAUAUGUAAGAAGUCCUUGUUACUUGAUUGAACGUGGACACUUGAAUGUACCGUUACUAGUGGGCCAUUUUUGGUAAGCAGAACUGGCGAUGCGGGAUGAACCGAACGCGGGGUUAAGGUGCCAGAAUAUACGCUCAUCAGACACCACAAAAGGUGUUAGUUCAUCUAGACAGCAGGACGGUGGCCAUGGAAGUCGGAAUCCGCUAAGGAGUGUGUAACAACUCACCUGCCGAAUGAACUAGCCCUGAAAAUGGAUGGCGCUCAAGCGUAUUACCCAUACCCCGCCGCCGGGGCAGAAUUUAUGCCCCGGCGAGUAGGC